rnacentral:rRNA from 1 species
CAGUCGCCGCGGUAAUACGUAGGUGGCAAGCGUUGUCCGGAAUUAUUGGGCGUAAAGGGCUCGCAGGCGGUUUCUUAAGUCUGAUGUGGAAGCCCCCGGCUCAACCGGGGAGGGUCAUUGGAAACUGGGAAACUCGAGUGCAGAAGAGGAGAGUGGAAUUCCACGUGUAGCGGUGAAAUGCGUAGAGAUGUGGAGGAACACCAGUGGCGAAGGCGACUCUCUGGUCUGUAACUGACGCUGAGGAGCGAAAGCGUGGGGAGCGAACAGGAUUAGAUACCCCUGUAGUCCCUGUCUCUUAUAC